CCACCAGUCUUCUAGAGACACACUAUCAGAAUCAAAAGUUAUUAAUAGCACAUGUUCAUCAUCAGAACUUCUGGCUAUAUUUGCUUCUCCUGAUUUCCUCUCCUAGUUUGACCAACAAUCUGCAACGAAGUGGCCAAACUUCUUACAACUGUAACAUUGAACUUUUCUCUUGUCAUACUUCUCCUUUCCCUUCUAACUUCCAAAAGUUGAAGUUUCUGACUUCUGAGACCUACCAUGUCUUUUCUUGGCUUCUGACCAAGACUUCUUCUGGUCUUUUUUGACAAAAGAAGCUUUUGGAGCCUGCUCUACAUCUCUCUCAGAGGAUCUUUUAGUCAGACGCAACUCUUGUGCCUCUAGACUGCUUUGCAGCUUUUUUAUUCUCAUGGUGCUCAUAUCCUUAGAAUGUUCAAUUGCUACAACGAUGUAAUCAAAUUGAGGAGUAAGAGAUCUAAGUACCUUCUCAAUGAUACUUUCUUCAGAGAGAGUUUCUCCACACGACUCUGUCUCAUUUAUGAUUAAAUUCAUUCUGGAGAUGUAGUCAGGUACCUUCUCAUUGUUCUUCAUGCUGAGAUUCUCAUACUGCUUACAUAGAGGCUAAAACUUCACCUUCUUCACUGAUGCAUCACUGUCGUAGCACCGCACCAUUGUGUCCCACACAACUUUCACCGUUGUCGAAUCAACGAUUUUCUCAAAUAAGUUCACAUCCACACACUGAUGGAUGUAGAACAGAUCCUUAUGAUCCUUCUUCCUCAUAUCACGCCAAGCAUUUAUCUGUGUAUCUAUUGUAUUUUAUGGAAGUACAACCUAAACGUAAUCGUCGUUGAUACGAUCAAAAACAUCUUGAGCUCCAAACAACACACGCAUCUGAAUCAUCCAACGAUUCCAGUUCUUACCAUCGAACACUGGAAGCUUGGUACUCAGAUUAUCAUUUCCGUUCAUUUUCAACCUUGUGCAAUACACUCAGAUUUCACCUAAACACAGUGUUUCCUAAUCCCCCAUAAUUAAGAUAUGUGAUUCUAUUACGAUCUGAACAGAAAUUCAACACGGAUUCUCCGAACAGAAAUCAAUCACACAGCGCCUCACUAUUUCACUUGGUGUUUCCCGUGGUAUUUUCCUGUGAGUCUGAACCGAAGCUCUAGAUACCAAUUGUUGGUGUACAAGGUGAUAAAUAUGAACGAUGAACAAGAGAAAGAAGAGAGAAUAAUAAUAAAUUUCCAUUACUCUUGAAAUGGUUACAAAAUGGUUGCACAUGAAAAUGCACAUACACACACACACACGCACACACACAUUGCAAAAGAAAUAAAAGGUACAAUUUGUUCACACCACUCACUUGCUUAAAUACAAGUGGGACUUUAGGAAAUACUAAAAUAUCCUCUAACAAACUUUGUCAACAAGUUUCUAGAAAAUAUUAGCAAUAGAUACCAAGGAAAGAUAGUUCUUCGCAUUCGCAGCAACAAUUAAGGCCUAUGAGGAUUUCAAUGGAGAAUCCUGAAGUCAAUAACAACAACAACAACGGUAGUAACACUUGUUCUCUGCAGUAGAAUAUUCAGUUUGAAGAGAUCAUGGACGGUGAGUUUUGGGAGAAGGGUGGGAGGAGUUUGAGGAGGCUUGUUGAACAUGGAUCUUUGGAUGAGUAUUUUGCAAAUAGAGUUAAGAGGAAAAAGGAUAGCGACGGUGAAGAGAAUUUUGAGGAAUUUGAAAGGGAGAAUUUCAGGUUGACACAAUUUGAUGCUAGAAACUUUUAGUUUGUUCAUAUUUUUGGAGUUUUAAAGAUGGUUGGUGUUAAUAAAAGACGAGAACGAAAACAUGUCCAGCCACAUGAUUUUCUACAAAUAAAGUAAUGUUACCAUAACAUAUCCUCUACAUGAUUUUCCGCUUUCUUGAUCACACCCUGGUUACAUUCAUUUCAAUAGGAACUUUGAUAUGGUAAAGUGAUUUACCAAGAGCAAGUGUAACAAAAUCAAUGGAAGAAGAAAGUGUAUUCCCAAUGCCAAGCUUUUUUUGUGCUAACCCAAACAACACUAGUAACCCCACAUGCUUCUUGGUACAAAUUUUUCUAUGCAACUUGAAUUGUUAUCAUUAUUAAACCUGCACAACUCAAAUUUUGGAAAUCACAACAUGCACACUGCAUGUUCAACGAAAUAAUUGACCUCAUUGAUUUUUGUUUUUCUAUAUAACUUUGAGUGACCCAAUUGGACAUUUAGGAAAGGUUAAUAACCCCACAAUUUAACUAAUAUAAAAUAAAAAUAAUUAAUUUAAUAAAAAUCAUACGUAUCAAAAAAAUACAUAUUUGGUAUGCCAUGUAAGUCUCCGUUAGUGACAACUAACGGGAGAGACUAAUUUUAAGGACGAAAAAAAUUUGUGAGGACCAUUAUUUGAAAAAAAAAUUAAAGGGAAUAAAAUUGAAUGUUGACAUAUUUAUGAGGACCUCUAACAUAUUUAUCCUAAUUUUUAUUAGGAAAAAGAAAUUGAUUAUUUAAAUAUAAAAAUUUGGUUAAUAAAUUAUGAAGUUGAUAAAUGCUCAAAUAUAAAAAAUAAUUUUUAAUAAAUAAAAUAUAAAAUGUUGAUUAAGGAGAUUAUGAAGUUGGUUACUUACACAAUUUUCUAUUUGUAUCUCUUAAAAAAAUUUAAAAAAGAUUUAUUAAUAGAAUAUUUUAUUGUUCACCAUAUUAAUAAACAAUGAAAUACGAUAUAUUGUAAAAUUUUAUUAUAAAAAUAUUAUUUUUCUUAAAAAAUAUAGGAAGAAAAAUUGAACUCCAAGCUCUUUUCUACAAUCGAUUUUUUAAUUAAAAAAUUUAAACUAUUGAUUAAAGAAUAUAUAAGAUUACAUUGUGUUGAUAGAAUUAUAUAUCUAUCAAAUCAGAACCGUCUUUAAAAAUAUGCAAGAUAGAUUAUUAUAUAUGAAUUAAAAUUUAUUAUAAUUAAAUCAUAAUUAAAUCGUUGAAUAAAACUUUUAGCUAUUUUUCCAUGGUUAAUACUAACAUAUGCUAAAUCUUCAAAAAUUUAAAAUCAUUGUAAAUAAACAUUAUAUAUGUACCAAAUUAAAGAUAUGAGUUAGACAUCCAUCUCCAAAUUGCUACUUGAAUAGCAUCUCUUACAAUGUACUUUUGAGAUUUUAUUAUACUAUGGAUCCACAGUCGUAAGUAAUGUCUAAGAUAAUUCUUUUUCUCACCCAUUUUGAUGCAAAUCAGGUAAUUUAUAUUUCUACAAUUAAACUAUUAAUAUAGUUUAAUUAAUGAAUGCAAUUUUAAAUAUAUAAUUUACUACCAUGUUAUAAUUGAGUCAAAUAGAUGCAAACAGCUAAUUCAUAAUUUAAUUUUUGAUGAUAAUUUUUUAUUUAUUUAUGUACUAAUAUAAAUAUUUUUUUAUGAUUAUGUAAACACAUUUUCUUAUGAGUAUGAAAAUAAGUCCUUGAUAUUUAUAAUUAAUAAUUAUUUUUAAAAAAAUAAUAAAAUGCAAAAAAAAAUCUUUUUAAAAAUACAUAAAUGUCUUUGGAAAAUGGAAUUACACCACGUAUAUUUGAAUACAUCUAAUUACCUAACAAUAUUUCCUUAAGUAAGUAUACGGAGUUUUAGUUUUUUACACUAUAGUUAAUUCUUAGAAAAAAAUUAUGUAUAACUUUAUUAAUUGGUCUUUCAUUAAUGAUAUUGUUCCAUCUUAGAAUUAGAGUUGGUGUUGAUCGAUGACGUAGAACUUUUGAAUUAGUGAUGUUGAUCUUAGGUAUGGUGGUGUAGAGGAGAUAAGUAAGGUUAACACUCCAAUGUCAAGUCAGUUUUAGAGUCCAAGAUAAAUAUAGUAAAAAGUGAAAAUUAAAAAAAUAUAUUUUAAAUCUUACGUGUGCUGACUAUGUGCGUUGGAUAAUCAUGAUUGGACUUGUGCAUCAUUGGUUGUAUUGGACCUUUGAUCGGUUCAGAACAGUUGCUCCAAGACUUGUCGGGUGUACAUUAGCACGACCUUACAAAAAUGUCUGACCAUGGCGUGGAGUAGGAAUGUCAUUGUUACAAAAGUAACGGUGGAACAAUCGCCUUAAAUAUUUUUCCAUUAUUGAACUAUUUCGCUGAUUUCUUCAAACGUAUGACUUUAGGUUAGCAGGUUAAGGCAUGACACUUUCUCUUUCAGAAAUAGGCAACAUUUGUGAAGUGUUGCAGUAUGCAAUUUGUAUUUUGAAUUUAGAAAUAGACAGCACUUCGUGAAGUGUUUCGGGAUGUGAAACAAUACAACAUUUGAAAACUGUUGUUGUAGACGAAAUAAUGCAACGUUUGAAAAUGCUGUUGUAGACAAAACAAUGCAACAUUUAGUAAAACUGGUUGCUGAAAGUGUGUGUUUGAUAAAGAAUCACAAUCUUAGGAAACAACAUCAGUUUGACUUAUAACUUGAGUAUUCCGGAUUCAGGAAAACAUAUCCUCUUCACAAAAUUUAUGGAUUUCAUCUUCCCUAUAUUUGAAUUUGCUCAGUCUUGUGCAAACUCGAGUAUAGGCUGAAUUAUUCUGGGUAUUCAUGCAUACAAAUUCUAAGAUAAUUUGACAGUGCGCGAAAUGUUAUAAAAAAGUGAUUUGUUCACGAUUCUAACGUCAAUCAAUUUGAUUUCAAUUAAUUUUUCUAACAAUCAUAUAAUAUUUGAAUUAUGGCAACCAAAAUUUAUAUUUCAAGUAUCAAAUAAUAAACAACUAUGUUGUAAGGACAUUUUAAACAUAAGAAAAAUCUACAUCAUGAAUCACGAUGAUCCUUGAAAGGAUGGUAAGAGGUGAGAGAGUUUCAUUGGUUGGAAUUGAUAUGGUGGUUUGUAAUUUGAUUGAUAUUUAAUAUUUGAAGUUUUUUAAUCCUUUGUUGGAAAUGUAAGAGCAAAAUUGCUCUAGAUUGCUUUGGAUUUGACACAUAUUAUUUAUUAUGGUGAUUAAUAUCCACUUUCCAAUUGGUGAGUUCCUCUUAUUGUUUAACUAUUUGAUAGUAUUCACUAUGCAUCAUGCAUAAACCAUAGUUUAAAUAUAAAAAUGCUAUAGUUUAACAUUGUGUCAUGUGUUGUUGUGUUUGGAAGAAGAGUGGAAUAUAUGUAUGUUGAUAAGUUAUAAUGAAUGUUCAAUCAUACAUCGAGAUUCAAAAUAUGAAUUGAAAGUGAUGUUUUUAAAAUUGUGAGUAAAUCUGAUUAUAUGAAUCAUUCUAUGCAUCGUCAACAAAAACAUGAUAAUUUUAAGUAAAAGUAACUGACAUAUGCAAAAUUAUAUGCUAUUCAUGAUAUAUAAGAAAAAUUGAUAUAUUUUAAAUUAUAAAAAGAAAAUAAAAGGAUGGCAACACACAUUUGUUAAAAAAUAAGUGAUUGACGAUACAAAGUUUACCAGGGUGAAAGUUGCAAAUUUGCAAAUUAGCCAUAAUGAAUUGAGAUUCAUGGUUCGAAAAUAGAUACACAUAGUGACUUGUAUAGAAAUGUGCAUAAAUGGAGAUCUUAAUGAAUAAAAGACGUGAAAGUUGUUAAAUCUUUAUAUGGAUUAAAACAAACGUCAAAACAAUGAUAUCAAAAAUUCGUCUUUGUCAUUGGAGAGAUACAUAAUUUAACUGGAGACUUUUGAAUCUUAUCAAAAUAAAAAUUCUAAGAGUUCGUCAUCAUCAAAAGGGGAAGAUUGUGAAGUAUAUAUAUCUAGUUUAGUUUUGAUGAAGACAAAAGUUAUCAAAAAAGAAAAGAAUCAAAUGUGUCAUGCACAUCAAUGAUGAAGUUGAACAAGAAGGUUAAACAUGUAAGUUCAAGUGAAUAUUUGAAACAAGUGAACAUAACUAAGGUGCUCAUUGAAAUUUAUACUAUACUAUUUUAAAUUGCUCAUAAUUUUAUCUUUCACUUCAUCUUAAAACCUUCUUGCAUCAUCAUGCAUUAUUAUCUAAAAAUCUUCUUCCUCUAAUUCUUUUUACAAGUGUUUGUACACAAAGUUGUGCGGAAAUAUUGUGAUAUUCAUCGGUCUCUAUAUUGAUUAUAUGAUUGAUCAUUAGCAACGAGAUGAAUGGAAUUUUAGAAACAAUGAGGUUUCUAGCUUCCACAUUCAAGAUGAAUGAUCUUGGACUAGUUGACACGCUUUUGAAGAUCAAAGUAAAACGAAAUAGUGAAAUUUAUGAACUUAGUCAAACACAUUAUGUUGAGAAAGUACUUGAUAAAUUCAAAAACUUACAUUUCAAGAAAGUGAAUACUCCAUUUGAUCCUAGUGUCCUUAAAAUAAUGAUGGAAGAAUUGUGGCUCAAUUGGAAUAUGCAAGUUUAAUUGAUUGUCUAAUGUAUUUGAUGCAAUGUAUCUGACAUAUCAUUUGCAAUUAGUAAAAUAAAUAGAUUUACUAGCAAUCUAAAUGGUGAACAUUGGAAGGAAAUCACAAAGAAUUUUGGUUAUCUUUUAAAAUAGAAAAUUUUGGCCUUCAUUACGGUAGAUUUCCUGCCAUACAAGAAGGAUAUACUGAUGCGAUUUGGAUAUCGAGAGUUGGAGAUUAUAAAUCUACAACUGGAUGAAUAUUUACAUUAGAUGGAAGUGCAAUUUCUUGGAAGAGCAAGAAACAAACAUGCUUUACUCUUUUGACCAUGAAAUCAGAGUUUGUGACUCUUAUGUCCGCUGGACAAGAAGCAGAAUGGUUGAUGGACCUUCUGUUGGAGACUCCAUUGUCUAAGGACAAUGUCUCGAAAGUGUUGAUACAUUGUGAUAACCAAGCCAAACUAGCUAGAGAAUUCAGUGACAUAUACAACGAAAAGUCUAGGCACAUAAGUCUUAUACAUUCUUUCGUGAGAAAAUUGAUUAAGGAAUGGAUCAUUUCACUAACAUAUAUACAAAUAAGCUAUAAUUUAGUUGAUAUGUUUACUAAGUCACUGGCCAAAGACUUAGUAAAGACUACCUCAAGAGGUAUGAGAUUGAAACUCCUUAAAUAUGGGUUCCGACAACAGUAGCAACCCAAUAUGAAGUUAACAAAUCUUAACCUAAAAUUCAAUGGGUAACAGCAAGUCAUUAAUUUGGAUGUUUGUGCAACAUUAUAUGACAAUGUCGAGUAUUACAUAUUGAGGGUUGAGCUUUUUCAAACUCUUAAUGAAAUUUUAUAUCGAGGAUAUGCAUCUCAAGAAAUAGAUACAAAAUGAACUUCACCUAUAUGAAUUUCGAGAUGGCGUCGUCUCAAAGUGAGAGUAGGAGCUCCUCUCAUAAAAAAAUCACGAAAACAGGAAAAGCACAUGACCAUAAAUAAUGAUAGACGAGAGAUGUAGGCGAAGAACCAUUAAAGAAUGUGCGUAAGGUAGCACCAGUAUAAUCACAAAGGAUAACAAUUUAAAGCAUAGGUACCUAACGUUCCGAUUAAACUUUGUGUUAUCCUUGCCAAUGUUAAGUUCAAAUUGAAAAAUACUUAACUGUAUUAACAUUUUUGUUUUCCUUUUUCUGGAAUGAAUCUUGUCAUUAUUAGAACAAGUGGAAGAUUGUUGUAAAUUAUUAAAAAUUAAUAAUCUUGAUUGUGUUCUAAAAUCAUAAGAAAAUAUGCAAUUGAAGGUUAAUUUUGAAUUCAGAAAUAGGCAACACUUGUGAAGUAUUGCAGAAGGCAGUUUUUAUUUUGAAUUCAGAAACAAAAAAUACUUCGUAAAGUGUUUUAAAAUGCGAAACAGUACAAACCUUUGAAAGCUGUUGUUGUAGGUGAAACAAUGCAACGUUUGAAAAGUGUUAUUGUAGGCGAAACAAUGCAACAUUUAGCAAAAGUGAUUGCUGAAAGUGUGUGUUUCUUCAUAGGUCACAACCUUAUGAAAUAACAUCAGUUUUGCCUAUAAAUUGAGCAUUUUAGAUUCAAAAAAACACAUUAGAAAAGUCUAUUAUCUUCGCACAAAAUUCCAGAUUUCAUCUUCCUUAUAUUCAAAUUUUUAUUGAUCUUAUGCAAACUCGAGUAUAGACUAAAUUAUUCUGGAUAAUCUUACAUACAAAUUCUAAGAUAAUUUGAGAUUGUUUGAAAUAUUAUAAGAAAAGUGAUUCGUUCAACGAUUCUAAAAAGAUUUUUUUAAUAGGAACUGCGUAUGUAUGUGACUUAGUAUACUAUUUCAUCCAGAUUAAAAUAAAUGAAUAAAUAAAAAAAAGAAUGAUAUUUUUAUUAAAAUAUCUUUUAUUAAGUAUUACAAAUUAUAAAAAUAAUAUUGAUUAAAAAUAAAAUUGAAAAAUAUGGAUUGAAAAUUAAAUUGAGUUAUUUAUUUAAAAAAAAAACUAUUCUAAAUAGAUAGGCGGAAUGAGUAGUGUAGAAUGUUGCUUACACAAUGCGGUGAUCGACAUAAUUCUAUCACAAUUAUUGAUUAACUUAUUUAUAUAUAAUUUCCUUCCUUUCCAACAAAAUAUGUGUGUUUUGACUUGACUCACAGCCACAUCCCUUUGUCAUCAAUAUUUAGAAUCACGACAAAACACUACUAGAAUUUUGUUGUGAUUAUAUUUAUCAAGACAAAAUUAAAAUAAUUGGUAAAAUAGAUAAAAUGCAUAUUUGCAUAAAUAUUAUUUCAUCCGAAUAUAUAUAUUUUGUUCAUACGGUUAUUAAGAAUAGUAUUGAAUUAAGAAUGAUCAUUAUUAAGUUUAGUGAAAGAAAAUUGUUGAUUCAUUAUUUAAUAUCAGAUGACAAUAUUUAUUUAUAUUUAAAUAUUAAUAUAAUAUGUUAUUUAUAUUUUAAAAUUAAUAAUUAGAAAACAAUGAAUUAUAUAUUUUUAAUAUUAGAAUAAGUUUUAAUUAUCAAAAUAUUUUUAUUAAUAGUAAAUUUUAUAAAAUUUAAUAUUUAUAAAAUAUAAAAGACUUAUUUAAAAUAUUAAAUUAUAAAAUUACAAAUAAAUAUUAGACAUUUUACUCCUCACACCUACAAAUAUAGGUAGGUAGAAAUAAAAACAGCACAAAUUAAAAUAGCUAAUCUUCACUCCUCACACCUACCCAAACUCUACCUACUAAUUUAAAAGAUUGCCGCCUCAAUAAUUUCUAAUAAGAUUCUCAGCAAAAAAAGACACAAGAUAAUGUGUUAUUUUUCCGCCUUCUUCCGCAUAAAUUAUUAUAUCCUCUUUCAACAUAUGAAUCAUAUAAAAAGGUCCAUACUAGUUUAUAAUUUCUUCAUACCCAUUUCAACCAAAACACCAAAGUUAACAAACAAUAGAAAUGGAUUUCAGUACAAACGGUUCUGAAGAAAGUGAACUCUAUCAUGCUCAAAUCCAUUUAUACAAACAUGUAUACAACUUUGUAAGUUCCAUGGCACUCAAAUCCGCCAUGGAACUAGGCAUAGCUGAUGCAAUUCAUAACCAUGGAAAACCAAUGACUCUCCCUGAAUUAUCUUCAUCUUUGAAACUUCACCCCUCUAAAGUUAACAUCCUUUAUCGAUUCUUACGUCUGUUAACACACAAUGGUUUCUUUGCUAAAACAACAGUGAA
rnacentral:lncRNA from 1 species